GAAUAGGUAGUAGGAAAAGAGAAAGAGAUUAACCUAGCCAAAGAUCCAUAGUCAAUAAUGAAAGUUAUAAUGACCACAUUGAUCUUGAAUAAGGUCAAUAUAAAAGAUGUAAUAAGAGAAUUGCAUAUAAUACAGCAGUAAGGAAUAUUAGACAAUGAUCGAAAGAUUGAUCUAGUUACUUAGAAAGAUGAAGAUUAUA
rnacentral:rRNA from 13 species